GGUGGGGAGGGCCAGGGGAGCUGGGCAGUGAGUCAAGGCAAAGUUGAAAGCUGGGGGGCUCUGCACUUUGCAGGCAGAUCUUUUUAGGUUCACUUGGUAGAGUCAGCCUGGGCUGAGAGCCAGCUCAGGGGGCUGCACCUGCUGAGGAGCGUCUGCUGGGGUUCAUGUUUGGUGAGGCAUGGAAGGAAUUUAGGGCAUCGAUGAGCAGCAUCCUUGACUUCUCAGUAAAUGGACAAGAGAUAUACCACAGCUAAAUCUGCAUCUCCGUCCCCUUUUACAGCGUGUGCCUUACAGUUCCUAUUCGGCCAAACCCUUGGGGAUGACAUGGGAGACAGAGUCUGGCUCUGAGAGGCCAAUGCUGGCGUUGAUGCCCACCUGCUCACAGUGGAAGGCUGGAACCCACUGAGGACAGAAGACACUCUGGGAGCUGAGAAACGGAGCCCUGCUCAACUCUGGAAGCUGCUGGAGAGCCUUACAACUGGCUGGCUCGCUCUCAAUGUUCAGCGAGCUGUCUCCCACACAGGAGUGACUCCACUUAGGAGGGGCCAGUAAACGACCCACACCCACCAGUACUAGAAACCAAAGCCCAGGGAGGUGAUGUCAAUCAUCUGCCACCAGACCAGAACUCCGGAAUCCGAAUCCCGUGUGUCCUCCUGCUCCCAGGCUCCCCAGUUCGCCUUUGUCAUCCCCAGCGGCAGGGGUUCAGCCCCUGCUCUGGUUUCAUCCCUUUGAAGAGGCAAGUGCUGGAUGAAUGUCCUGAAUCCUCCCAGAGCGGCCUGGCUCCACUUUUGAGAAGAAAAGCUCCUCCCCCUACUUUCACCCUGGAACCAGGAGAUGAAUCUUGAACCAGCCUGAAUGGAAGGCAGCAUCUGGUGGCGAUUAGGUAAGAGGCUUGGGGUCCGACAGAUCAACAUCAAAUCCUGGCUUUCCCAUUACUACCACUGUCACCCUGGGCAAGUUGCUUGACUUCUCUGAGCCUCAGUUUUCCCAUCUAUGAAAUGGGAUAAUACUAGUACCCACUCCACUGGGUUGUUAUGAGGUUUAAAUGAGGCAUCUAUCAAAUGCUUAGCAGUGAGACUGACACAAUAAAUGGUAGCCACAUGAUUAUUUACUUCUCUGUCUUUUCAUCCAUACUAGGUAAAGAUUUCAUGGAGAGGGUAUGUUUCAGGUAAUGAAUUUAAGUGUUUGUUUCUCUGGAAUUCAUUUGUUAGGGAUGUCUUAACAUUCUAGGGUCUGUUUUAAUAACUCUGCCUGCCCCGAACCAUAUUCCCCACUCCAUCUGUAGCCCACCUGAGAGACAGACAGACAGACCCACACACCUUAGCCCUCUCCUGCUCCGGCUGACUUUGUGAGCACGGUUAUAGGUGAGUGGUUCCCCGCCCCUAACCCGACCCUGGUGUUGGUCUGAGCUUGGGCAGGCCGGUGAAACCAAGGACAGAGGGCCCGUCCCUUAGCCGGGCACAAGGGCACAUCUAUUCUGUGCUCACGGCUGGUGCUCCUAAUGCUGGCCAGCCAGCCAGCAAAUGGGUGACCUUGGGUAGGUCCAGAGGAGGAUGGGUGUAGUGCCACCCUGUCUUCCUAGGAGGAGAAAAACACAGAGCACAUGUCCCAAGAGUCACAGCCACUGUCAUCCCACAGGCAAGAGGCACAUGUCCCAGCAGCCUCGAAGAUCAUCCCCGAUUCCUCUUUGCUUGCCCACACCUCCUUCCACUGGUGGGGGUGCUUGGCUCUCCUUCUCUGCCUCCCCACUGUUCCCUCCUUGGUCCAAACCAGCAUCAGCUUUUUCAGAGAUCCCCUGGGGCCUUUCUGCUUCCACUUUUGCUCACCCCCCACCCCCACUCCCAGGGCUCAAGAAAGCCAAAAUGAGCUUUUGAAGAUACACGUCAGAUCAUGUCCCCUCCCUGCUUAGACAUCUCCCAUGGCUUUUUGUGUGUUGUAGGCAGAUUUCUAAGAUAACCCCCCCAUGGCCACCACAUCCUGGUAUUCCUAGAGUGAGGGCAGGACCCCUGACUUGCUUCUAAUGAAUGGAAUAUGGCCAUGACAUCUUACUACACUGAUGGACACUGCCUGCAUUGGGGUAUGGGUGGGGACUUGAUAAUAUGGGUAAAUGUAGUAACCACAUUGUUUUUUCAUGUGAAAUCUUCACAAGAGUGUAUAUCAAUAAUACCUUAAUAAAAAUUAAAAAAAAAAAAGAAUAUGGCCAUGAAUAUAGAUGAAUAGAUGGAUGCCACUUCUCUGAUUAGCUUACAAAAUAUAAUCACCUCCCUAUUGCUAUUAGCCUCUCCCUGUUGCCUCUCUGGCUCGUGUGUUUUGAUGAAGCAAGGGGCUGUAUUGGAAUGGCCUGCAUGGUGAAGAACUGAGGAUGACCUUAGGUCAACAGUCUGUGAGGAACUGAAUCCUGCCAAUGAUGGCAUGAGUUUGAAGCAGCCAUGUGUGCCCACCCAACAUCUUGAUGGCAGCCUAUGAGAGACACUGAGGUAGAGGACCCAGGGAAGGCAUGCCCAGGUUCCUGACCCACAGAAACUGUGAGAUACAAAAAUGUGUUCUGUUUUAAACUGCUAAAUUGUGGGGUGAUUUGUUACACAGCAAUA